AGACGCCGCCCGGCAGCAGCCGGCGGUCGCUCCCUCCCUCCCAGCUGCUGCAGCAGAGACCGGGGCCAUUUCGCGAGGCGGACGGGCUCCUCGGCAGGCUCCGAUUGGGGUGGGAGCGCGGCCGCCGAGGGGCCCGCAGUAGCUGCGCUCACGGGGAAGGAGCCCCACAGUCCCCAGAUACUAUCAAAUCAGCCUGGGAAGCAGCUUUUCGCUCAGCAAGUUCAAGAGAACAAAUAUGUUACAAUCCUUGCCUAUUCUUGCCUCCACUUCAUAAUGUCAUAAAAGCCACCUGGGGUGUCAUUUAUCAACCUCUCUCCAGCCCACUCUUCCAAAAUAACACUACAGUUUCCUACAUGUGUAUUUUUGCCAGGACUCCAAAGAGCCUUGCUAAAGUGGAACAAGGAGUAGAGAAUUGAACUGUGAAAAAGAAGCCCGAGAUUCCCCAGCGACGUGGUGUUGCAGCCCCGUUGAAGGAGUCAACUUGCAGGCUGUUAAAGACCUCAAGUCAUUAGCAUCAGCUGCUGCACUAAAGGGGCAAGUCAGCGCCUCUAAGUGGCUUAGCGCACAAACGAGGCUCCCGAGACGGCCUCGGCAACUCCAUCCCCUCCUCCACCACCCGCUGGAUGUGAAAAGCUUUCCGGAGCCCAUC
rnacentral:sRNA from 1 species